GCUGGGUGUGGUGGCUCACGCCUGUAAUCCUAGCACUUUGGGAGGCCGAGUUGGGAGGUUUGCUUGAGCCCAGGAGUUCCAGACCAGCCUGGGCAACAUGGCGAAACCCCAUCUCUA
rfam:Pan troglodytes isolate Yerkes chimp pedigree #C0471 (Clint) chromosome 9, whole genome shotgun sequence.